AAAUUGAAGAGUUUGAUCAUGGCUCAGAUUGAACGCUGGCGGCAGGCCUAACACAUGCAAGUCGAGCGGUAGCACAGAGAGCUUGCUCUCGGGUGACGAGCGGCGGACGGGUGAGUAAUGUCUGGGAAACUGCCUGAUGGAGGGGGAUAACUACUGGAAACGGUAGCUAAUACCGCAUAACGUCGCAAGACCAAAGUGGGGGACCUUCGGGCCUCAUGCCAUCAGAUGUGCCCAGAUGGGAUUAGCUAGUAGGUGGGGUAACGGCUCACCUAGGCGACGAUCCCUAGCUGGUCUGAGAGGAUGACCAGCCACACUGGAACUGAGACACGGUCCAGACUCCUACGGGAGGCAGCAGUGGGGAAUAUUGCACAAUGGGCGCAAGCCUGAUGCAGCCAUGCCGCGUGUAUGAAGAAGGCCUUCGGGUUGUAAAGUACUUUCAGCGGGGAGGAAGGCGAUAAGGUUAAUAGCCUUGUCGAUUGACGUUACCCGCAGAAGAAGCACCGGCUAACUCCGUGCCAGCAGCCGCGGUAAUACGGAGGGUGCAAGCGUUAAUCGGAAUUACUGGGCGUAAAGCGCACGCAGGCGGUCUGUCAAGUCGGAUGUGAAAUCCCCGGGCUCAACCUGGGAACUGCAUUCGAAACUGGCAGGCUAGAGUCUUGUAGAGGGGGGUAGAAUUCCAGGUGUAGCGGUGAAAUGCGUAGAGAUCUGGAGGAAUACCGGUGGCGAAGGCGGCCCCCUGGACAAAGACUGACGCUCAGGUGCGAAAGCGUGGGGAGCAAACAGGAUUAGAUACCCUGGUAGUCCACGCCGUAAACGAUGUCGAUUUGGAGGUUGUGCCCUUGAGGCGUGGCUUCCGGAGCUAACGCGUUAAAUCGACCGCCUGGGGAGUACGGCCGCAAGGUUAAAACUCAAAUGAAUUGACGGGGGCCCGCACAAGCGGUGGAGCAUGUGGUUUAAUUCGAUGCAACGCGAAGAACCUUACCUGGUCUUGACAUCCACAGAACUUAGCAGAGAUGCUUUGGUGCCUUCGGGAACUGUGAGACAGGUGCUGCAUGGCUGUCGUCAGCUCGUGUUGUGAAAUGUUGGGUUAAGUCCCGCAACGAGCGCAACCCUUAUCCUUUGUUGCCAGCGGUUAGGCCGGGAACUCAAAGGAGACUGCCAGUGAUAAACUGGAGGAAGGUGGGGAUGACGUCAAGUCAUCAUGGCCCUUACGACCAGGGCUACACACGUGCUACAAUGGCAUAUACAAAGAGAAGCGACCUCGCGAGAGCAAGCGGACCUCAUAAAGUAUGUCGUAGUCCGGAUUGGAGUCUGCAACUCGACUCCAUGAAGUCGGAAUCGCUAGUAAUCGUAGAUCAGAAUGCUACGGUGAAUACGUUCCCGGGCCUUGUACACACCGCCCGUCACACCAUGGGAGUGGGUUGCAAAAGAAGUAGGUAGCUUAACCUUCGGGAGGGCGCUUACCACUUUGUGAUUCAUGACUGGGGUGAAGUCGUAACAAGGUAACCGUAGGGGAACCUGCGGUUGGAUCACCUCCUUACCUUAAAGAA
rnacentral:rRNA from 1 species